rnacentral:tRNA from 1 species
GGCCGGUUAGCUUAGCGGUAGAGCACCUCGUUUACACCGAGGGGGUCGGCGGUUCGAUCCCGUCACCGGCUACCA